UGGGGAAUAUUGGACAAUGGGGGGAACCCUGAUCCAGCCAUGCCGCGUGUGUGAAGAAGGCCUUAUGGUUGUAAAGCACUUUAAGCGAGGAGGAGGCUACUGAGACUAAUACUCUUGGAUNGNGGACGUUACUCGCAGAAUAAGCACCGGCUAACUCUGUGCCAGCAGCCGCGGUAA
rnacentral:rRNA from 1 species